UUCACCCCAAUCAUCUGUCCCACCUUAGACGGCUGGCUCCAAAAGGUUACCCCACCGGCUUCGGGUGUUACAAACUCUCGUGGUGUGACGGGCGGUGUGUACAAGACCCGGGAACGUAUUCACCGUGGCAUGCUGAUCCACGAUUACUAGCGAUUCCGGCUUCAUGUAGGCGAGUUGCAGCCUACAAUCCGAACUGAGAAUGGUUUUAUGGGAUUGGCUUGACCUCACGGUUUUGCAGCCCUUUGUACCAUCCAUUGUAGCACGUGUGUAGCCCAGGUCAUAAGGGGCAUGAUGAUUUGACGUCAUCCCCACCUUCCUCCGGUUUGUCACCGGCAGUCUCCUUAGAGUGCCCAACUUAAUGCUGGCAACUAAGAAUAAGGGUUGCGCUCGUUGCGGGACUUAACCCAACAUCUCACGACACGAGCUGACGACAACCAUGCACCACCUGUCACUCUGUCCCCCGAAGGGG
rnacentral:rRNA from 1 species